UUACCGCGGCGGCUGGCACCAGACUUGCCCUCCAAUUGGUCCUCGUUAAGAAAUUUAAAUUGUACUCAUUCCAAUUUACAAGACUACAAAAAAGCCCUGUAUUGUUAUUUUUUGUCACUACCUCCCCACGUCGGGAAUGGGUAAUUUGCGUGCCUGCUGCCUUCCAUGGAUGUGGUAGCCGUUUCUCAGGCUCCCUCUCCGGAAUCGAACCCUAAUUCUCCGUCACCCGUUGCAACCAUGGUAAGCCACUACCUUACCAUCGACAAUUGAUAGGGGAGAAAUUUGAAUGAAACAUCGCCGGCACAAAGGAAAGGCCAUGCGAUUCGAACAGUUACUAUGAAUCAUCAAUUGGUUGAGCGGCCGUGAAGACGCAUUGGUUUUUAAUCUAAAAAAUACAUCCCUUCCACAAAAGUCGGGACUUUUCGCAUGUAUUAGCUCUAGAAUUACUACGGUUAUCCAAGUAGUAAGAGAGUACAAUCAAAUAAAUGAUAACUGAUUUAAUGAGCCAUUCGCAGUUUCACAGUACAAGUGCUUAAUACUUAGAACAUGCGUGGCUUAAUCUUUGAGAUAAGCAUAUGAUACUGGCAGGAUCAACCAGGUU
rnacentral:rRNA from 1 species